CCGAAACAAUGUUAAUGGCUUUCAGAGUCUGGCGGCGCGUUCCCAUUAUCAUCUUCCUAUAACCCUUCCUCAUUUACACGGAGGAGGUGGUCUCCACAGUGACUUUUAAAUUUAGUAUUUCUCUCAUAACCUUUGUCAGUUGUCCACAAUAUUUGGGAAGAUUUACAAGGUAUACUUCAUUUAGGCAAAAAUAACUUAGGGAAAGUCAUUGUCAAGAGCAGUUUGUAUUGCAACCCACAAGAUAUACCUCUGUGUCGGUCCAGAAAUCCUUCAAUUUACUAAGAUUAUGUUUGAAAAGCUUAGAAAAAAAAUAAACAAUUCUGAAAAACGAAGUAGGUAAGUAAUCAUUAUUAUUUAUCUUUCUUCUUCAAACUUGUUCCCCCUACCUUACCCCAAAAAAGGAGGAUGAGAAAAUUUUUCACAACUAAUGAAGGCUAUUUCUGGAUGUUUUCAAAAGGUGUGCAGGUUGAUGAUGUUGGUUCUUUAUCAUUUCAGCAACAUAUGACUAUAUGACUUUUCUUUGAUGGUAGUGUCUUUUUGUUUGUUUGUUUUUUGUUUG